rnacentral:lncRNA from 1 species
CUGAUUGCCAGCUUUGGGGUUUCUCUGGAGACAGUUUGCUGUGAUUGUAGGACAUUAAAAAAUAUCUUAUUUUAUAGAAAGAUGAGGGACUCUGGCAAACACUGAAUAGCAUGAUCAAAUCAUUGACAAGAAUGACUUAGAGUUUGUUUCCUUUCCCCAAACUAUUUAUUCAGCACGUUUGAAGGCAAGCUGUGAAUAUUAUGUAAAGAAAUCUGCCAGCAUGCAAUCUCCAAGAAAAGAUUUCAGAUUUAAUUUCAGGCUCAGGGCAGCUAACAGGAAGAACUGUUACACUGUUCUAACUGAAGGGCCGAAGCUAAAACUUCCAAAGUAGCUAAAAAUUUAGAGUAUUUAACGCUUAUAUUUUCAUGUUAGAGUUCUGCAGUGCUGAAAGUCAUCUGCAUGCAAGAAAGCGAACAAAAACCCCACUGGCGUGAAAUAAUUGUUUGUCAUCAGUUGAGGAAACUAAGAUGCUGAUCCUGAAGCUGAACGUUACACGGGCACCCGGUACCGCAGAGAGGGACCAGACAGGUCUGGUUUUGAUCUGCCCACUCUGCAUGAACGAAGCAACAGAAAACAGGAUCUGAUUGUACCAGCUGACCUGAGUUCACACACCCGUAGCCUUAUCAAGUGGAGACUAUUCACACAGUCACACAGUCACGCUGGCUAUAAUGGAGUAAUCAUUAUGCUGAUCUUCCAGACUGUUUAAGACUUGGUUCCUGUUCCUGCCUGGUCUCGGACUUGGCUCCUCCGUCACAGCUCACGUUCUCUGACUCUAGACCUUCGGCCUGUUCCCACACAAACUCCAUCUUGCCCUUUGGUUCCUCCCUGGGAAAAAGGGAAGUAAAGGCCAACAAAUCAAAAAAUGUAAUUCAACCAGUGUUCGUAACGUACAUCCCACUUGGAAAUCCAAAGGAGCUCUUUUAACAGAUGGAUCUAGUAUGCUUCUGUCUUUGGGUGAUCAUUUCUUUGGUGUACAGUGAUCUUGCUGGACUGGAGUUCAUAUUAUCUUGGCAAGCUCUUUAAGGCAAGUUGUGUUCAUAUUAUAUUCCCUGUACCUUCAGUGUAACUUGCAGUUUCAUCAGAGGGUAUUGUCUCUUUUCUGUUGUAUACCAGAGGCCAAAAGCUGCUCUCUGGCAAUCCCUCGCUCUCCUGUAGGUGAGAUGAUGGCCCACUAAGCACCUGCAGCCUAUACAGGCUUAUUGGGGAAGCAAGAAACAGCCGUUGAACUUUAUGCAGCCAGUAAUGGACCUUCACUCUUACCUUAGUCUGGGGAUAAUGCUGAAAAAAAGGACAGGUGGGAGAGUGAAAUAGUAUUACAAGACUUGGGCUUGCCAGGUGGAACACUGAACAUAAAAUUCAGCUGUAAAUGCAUAAAAUUCAGCUGUAAACG